UACGUAGGGUGCAAGCGUUAAUCGGAAUUACUGGGCGUAAAGCGUGCGCAGGCGGUCUUUUAAGUCAGAUGUGAAAUCCCCGGGCUUAACCUGGGAACUGCGUUUGAAACUGGAAGGCUUGAGUGUGGCAGAGGGGGGUGGAAUUCCACGUGUAGCAGUGAAAUGCGUAGAGAUGUGGAGGAACACCGAUGGCGAAGGCAGCCCCCUGGGCUAACACUGACGCUCAUGCACGAAAGCGUGGGGAGCAAACAGG
rnacentral:rRNA from 1 species